rnacentral:rRNA from 1 species
GGUGGAUGAUGUGGAUUAAUUCGAUGCAACGCGAAAACCUUACCUACCCUUGACAUGUCUGGAACCUUGCUGAGAGGCGAGGGUGCCUUCGGGAGCCAGAACACAGGUGCUGCAUGGCUGUCGUCAGCUCGUGUCGUGAGAUGUUGGGUUAAGUCCCGCAACGAGCGCAACCCUUGUCUUUAAUUGCCAGCAUUCAGUUGGGCACUUUAAAGAGACUGCCGGUGUUAAGCCGGAGGAAGGUGGGGAUGACGUCAAGUCCUCAUGGCCUUUAUGCCCAGGGCUACACACGUGCUACAAUGGGUGGUACAAAGAGAUGCCAACUCGCGAGAGCGCGCCAAUCUCAGAAAGCCAUCCUCAGUUCGGAUUGGAGUCUGCAACUCGACUCCAUGAAGUUGGAAUCGCUAGUAAUCGCGGAUCAGCACGCCGCGGUGAAUACGUUCCCGGGCCUU